rnacentral:lncRNA from 1 species
GGGAGUGGCUGAACAAGCCAGCUGGAAGGACGGGUUAUUGUGGUCAGAAGGUGGGCAGAUUGAAUUUUGCAUCUGGAGAUAGCAAGAUUAUGGGUGCUGACAAUGUCCAGGAAGUGACCAUGAGCCUGUGUGGCUGAGGUGAUCAAGAAAAUGAGAGGCCAAGGGGUUAUGUGUAUCUUCCCAGUUCUACGUGUAUUUUGGCCCGUUUCCUCCUGGCUAAAGAGCACUUUCACCUUCUGGCAAGUGACCUGGGUUGACUUGAAGAGAGCUCUGUGACUGCUUUGACCAAUACAAGACAGCAGGAGUGAAGGUGGACUCAGCUUUUAACUGGUUCCUGCAGUCCUGACCAGUCAUCAAGCAGCUACUCAGACAGGAGGCAUCAGUCAUGAGGUGAAGACGCCAUCUUGGACCCCCAGCCCCGGCUCUUACCCAGAUGCAGCUGCACCAGCUGAGCCCAAUCAACCCGCAGAUCCCUGAGAGAGAAUGAUAAAUAGCUGUGCCUUUGCUCUCAGCCUACCCCUUCGUGCUCCACACCCCAGUGAUAGUGAGAGGAGUACCAGAAACGAAGGGAUGGAAGAAUAGCAGCUGGAGGAGAAGAAUGGAGCAGAAAACAGCGAGUUCAAGAAGGAUUGGGAGAGAAUUUUUGGUGAGGAGCUGAGAGCAAAGCAAGGAGAAAGAUGGUUUGAAGACACUCCAGAAUAUGAGGGAGGUAGAGAGUGAGAGGAAAAGGAGGAAGGGGGUUUUAAGAAACGAUCACUUAGGGGCUGGCCCGGUGGCUGGGUGGUUAAAUUCUCGCGCUCUGCUGCUGCGGCCCGGGGUUUUGCCGGUUCAGAUCCUGGGCGCAGACACGGCACUGCUCAUCAAGCUAUGCUGAGGCAGCAUCCCACAUGCCACACUAGAAGGACCCAUAACUAAGAAUAUACAACUAUGUACUGGGGGGCUUUGGGGAGAAAAAGGAAAAAAAUAAAAUCUUAAAAAAAAAAGAAAU